rnacentral:lncRNA from 1 species
AGGGAUUGAAAAAUCGGAAAAUGUCGCCGAUAUUUCGAAGAAAUAUCGGAUAUCGGACGGCGCCGAAACGAUAAUCGUCACCGAUUAUCGAUCGACGGAAAAAUCGACAAAAAAUGGCAAAAUCGCCGAUAUAUCGGCGAAAUAUCGGCGAAGCACCGAUUUAUCGGAAAAUUUCCCGAUAUUUUCCUACCAGUCCAGCCCGCGCACAGGAUACAAAAUCUGGCUCAAAAAUCGUGGAUUUAGGGUUCGUGAAAUUUAAAUCCAAUGGCACAACAGCAAAGAGACCCUUAAAACAGAUCCAGAAAACACAGGGAGCAAAAGAAAAGCAAAUUUUUUGGUUUUCUUUGGGGGUUUUGAAUGGAUUUUCUCGGAAAUCAAACGAGAAUGAAUUUUCCCGGAAAUCAAAUGGGGGAUGGAUUUUCCCGGAAAUCAAAUGGGGGAUGGAUUUUCUUGGGAAUCAAACGGGGGUUGCAAAAAAAAAAAUAUCAACGUGAUUAGAUUAGUACCUGCGAGGAUUGAGAGUGGCAGAGGAAGAUAGGUCUUUUUAGGAAGAAGAACUCUCUCGGCUGGAGGGCAGCUUCAGAAAAGGGGAAAGGGGAAUUCUCUCGGCUGGAGGGUAACUUCAGAAGUGGGUGACCCUUUUAAUUUUUAGAUUUAGUAGAGGUAAAAAAAAAAAAAAAAAAAAAAAAAAAAAAAAAAACAAAU